GAUGAACGCUGGCGGCAUGCUUUACACAUGCAAGUCGAACGGGAAGUCGUGUUUCCUGUGGCGGACGGGUGAGUAACGCGUAAGAACCUGCCCUUGGGAGGGGAACCACAGCUGGAAGCGACUGCUAAUACACCGUGGGCUGAGGAGCGAAAGAAGGAAUCCGCCCAAGGGGGGGCUGGCGUCUGAUGGGCUUGUUGGUGAGGUAAUAGCUUACCAAGGCCGUGGUCAGUAGCUGGUCGGAGAGGAUGAUCAGCCACACUGGGGCGGAGACGCGGAGCAGACUACGAGGGGAAGCAGCGGUGAAGAUUUCUCAGCAAGGGGCGAAAGGCUGACGCAGCAAUGCGGCGGGGAGGUAGGAGUCCUAGGGGUCAACAGCUUUUUUUCCUGGAGAAGAAACAAUGACGGUAUCUGGUGAAUAAGCAUCGGCUAACUACGUG
rnacentral:rRNA from 1 species